UGAAAAGCUGGCGGAUGAGUUGUGGCUAGCGGAGAAAUUCCAAUCGAACUCAGAUAUAGCUGGUUCUCCCCGAAAUAGCUUUAGGGCUAGCGUCAAUGUAAGGCCACUGGAGGUAGAGCACUGAAUGUAUGAUGGCCCCAUCUCGGGGUACUGAAUAUAAUCAAACUCCGAAUGCCAGUGGAUAGUAGUUGGCAGUCAGACUAUGGGUGAUAAGGUCCGUAGUCGAAAGGGAAACAGCCCAGACCAUCAGUUAAGGUCCCAAAAUUCAUGCUAAGUGGAAAAGGAUGUGGGGAUGCACAGACAACUAGGAGGUUGGCUCAGAAGCAGCCAUCCUUUAAAGAGUGCGUAACAGCUCACUAGUCGAGUGACCCUGCGCCGAAAAUGUACCGGGGCUAAGUAUGAUACCGAAACUAUGGAUUUAUUGUUUCAAUAAAUGGUAGGGGAGCGUUCUAUACUGCGUUGAAGCUGUACCGUAAGGAGCAGUGGAGUGUAUAGAAGUGAGAAUGCCGGUGUGAGUAGCGAGAUGUCAGUGAGAAUCUGACACACCGAUUGCCUAAGGUUUCCAGGGGAAGGCUCGUCCUCCCUGGGUAAGUCGGGACCUAAGAUGAGGCUGAAAAGCGUAGUCGAUGGACAACAGGUUGAUAUUCCUGUACCCGAUACAUAAGUGAAGGAAUGACAGAGAAGGCUAGGUUAUGCCAGCGACUGGAAGUGCUGGUUUAAGCGAAGGAGCUGUAUGGUAGGCAAAUCCGCCAUGCAAAGCAAAGGCGUUACGAGGAGUGAACCCGUGAGGAAGUAGCGAAGUAACUGAUGCCAGCUCUCAAGAAAAGUUUCUAGCGUUAAUUAUGUAUUGGCCCGUACCAAAACCGACACAGGUAGGCAAGGAGAGAAUCCUAAGGUGAGCGAGAGAACUGUUGCCAAGGAACUCGGCAAAAUGACCCCGUAACUUCGGGAGAAGGGGUGCUCGUAAGAGCCGCAGUGAAGAGGCCCAAGCGACUGUUUAACUAAAACACAGCUCUCUGCAAAGUCGCAAGACGAAGUAUAGGGGGUGACACCUGCCCGGUGCUGGAAGGUUAAGGGAAUAUGUUAGAAUUCGUUCGAAGCAUUGAACUGAAGCCCCAGUGAACGGCGGCCGUAACUAUAACGGUCCUAAGGUAGCGAAAUUCCUUGUCGGGUAAGUUCCGACCCGCACGAAAGGUGUAACGAUUUGGGCGCUGUCUCGGCAGCAGACUCGGUGAAAUCUUAGUACCGGUAAAGAUGCCGGUUACCCGCAACUAGACGGAAAGACCCCAUGGAGCUUUACUGUAGCUUGAUAUUGAACUUUGAGCCUACAUGUACAGGAUAGGUGGGAGACUAUGAAGCAUGUACGCUAGUAUAUGUGGAGUCGCCAUUGGGAUACCACUCUUGUAUGUUUGAAGUUCUAACCGCGUACCGUGAUCCGGUACCGGGAGAGUGUCAGGUGGGCAGUUUGACUGGGGCGGUCGCCUCCUAAAGAGUAACGGAGGCGCCCAAAGGUACCCUCAGAUUGGUUGGAAAUCAAUCGACGAGCGUAAAGGCAGAAGGGUGCUUGACUGCGAGACCUACAAGUCGAGCAGGGACGAAAGUCGGGCUUAGUGAUCCGGCGGUUCCGAGUGGAAGGGCCGUCGCUUAACGGAUAAAAGCUACCCUGGGGAUAACAGGCUAAUCUCGCCCAAGAGUUCACAUCGACGGCGAGGUUUGGCACCUCGAUGUCGGCUCAUCGCAUCCUGGAGCUGAAUUAGGUUCCAAGGGUUGGGCUGUCCGCCCAUUAAAGCGGUACGCGAGCUGGGUUCAGAACGUCGUGAGACAGUUCGGUCCCUAUCUGUUGUGGGCGUAGGAAAUUUGAGGAGCGCUGUCCCUAGUACGAGAGGACCGGGAUGGACAUACCGCUGGUGUACCAGUUGUUCUGCCAAGGGCAUCGCUGGGUAGCUAAGUAUGGACUGGAUAAGCGCUGAAAGCAUCUAAGCACGAAGCCAACUCCAAGAUGAGAUUCCCCAUACGUAAGUAGUAAGACCCCUGAGAGACGAUCAGGUUGAUAGGUCAGAGGUGGAAGCAUAGUGAUAUGUGGAGCUGACUGAUACUAAUAGGUCGAGGUUUUAAUC
rnacentral:rRNA from 1 species